rnacentral:rRNA from 1 species
GGGGAAUCUUCCGCAAUGGGCGAAAGCCUGACGGAGCAACGCCGCGUGAGUGAAGACGGCCUUCGGGUUGUAAAGCUCUUUUGUCCGGGACGAAAGACAGAUGUAGGAAAUGACAUCUGAGUGACGGUACCGGAAGAAAAAGCCACGGCUAACUACGUGCCAGCAGCCGCGGUAAUACGUAGGUGGCAAGCGUUGUCCGGAAUUAUUGGGCGUAAAGCGCGCGCAGGCGGCCCGUUAAGUCCAUCUUAAAAGCGUGGGGCUCAACCCCAUGAUGGGAUGGAAACUGACAGGCUGGAGUAUCGGAGAGGAAAGUGGAAUUCCUAGUGUAGCGGUGAAAUGCGUAGAGAUUAGGAAGAACACCGGUGGCGAAGGCGACUUUCUGGACGACAACUGACGCUGAGGCGCGAAAGCGUGGGGAGCAAAC